AUUGAACGCUGGCGGCAGGCCUAACACAUGCAAGUCGAACGAGUGGCGGACGGGUGAGUAAUGUCUGGGAAACUGCCCGAUGGAGGGGGAUAACUACUGGAAACGGUAGCUAAUACCGCAUACCAUCGGAUGUGCCCAGAUGGGAUUAGCUAGUAGGUGGGGUAACGGCUCACCUAGGCGACGAUCCCUAGCUGGUCUGAGAGGAUGACCAGCCACACUGGAACGGAGACACGGUCCAGAGUCAGACGGGAGGCAGCAGUGGGGAAUAUGGCACAAUGGGCGGAAGCCUUAUGCAGCCAGGCCGCGGGUAUGAAGAAGGCCUUCGGGUUGUAAAGUAAUUUCAGCGAGGAGGCGGUACUCGCAGAAGAAGCAUCGGCUAACUCCGUGCCAGCAGCCGCGGUAAUAC
rnacentral:rRNA from 1 species